CACAAGCGGUGGAGUAUGUGGUUUAAUUCGAUGCAACGCGAAGAACCUUACCUGGUCUUGACAUCCCGGAGACCCUUAGGAAACUAGGGGGUGCUUCCAUCUGGAAGAAUCUGGAGACAGGUGCUGCAUGGCUGUCGUCAGCUCGUGUCGUGAGGUGUUGGGUUAAGUCCCGCAACGAGCGCAACCCUUGCCUUUAGUUGCCAGCAGUUCGGCUGGGCACUCUAAAGGGACUGCCGGUGUUAAACCGGAGGAAGGUGGGGAUGACGUCAAGUCCUCAUGGCCUUUAUGACCAGGGCUACACACGUACUACAAUGGCCGAUACAAAGGGCAGCGACACUGCGAGGUGAAGCCAAUCCCGUAAAAUCGGUCUCAGUCCGGAUUGGCGUCUGCAACUCGACUCCAUGAAGUUGGAAUCGCUAGUAAUCGUGGAUCAGCAUGCCACGGUGAAUACGUUCCCGGGCCUU
rnacentral:rRNA from 1 species